AUUGAACGCUGGCGGCAUGCUUUACACAUGCAAGUCGAACGGCAGCGCGGGCUUCGGCCUGGCGGCGAGUGGCGAACGGGUGAGUAAUGCAUCGGAACGUGCCCAGUAGUGGGGGAUAGCCCGGCGAAAGCCGGAUUAAUACCGCAUACGACCUGAGGGUGACAGCGGGGGACCGAAAGGCCUCGCGCUAUUGGAGCGGCCGAUGUCGGAUUAGCUAGUUGGUGGGGUAAAGGCUUACCAAGGCGACGAUCCGUAGCUGGUCUGAGAGGACGACCAGCCACACUGGGACUGAGACACGGCCCAGACUCCUACGGGAGGCAGCAGUGGGGAAUUUUGGACAAUGGGGGCAACCCUGAUCCAGCCAUGCCGCGUGCGGGAAGAAGGCCUUCGGGUUGUAAACCGCUUUUGUUCGGGAAGAAAUCCUCUGGGCUAAUACCCCGGGGGGAUGACGGUACCGGAAGAAUAAGCACCGGCUAACUACGUG
rnacentral:rRNA from 1 species